CGGUCCAGACUCCUACGGGAGGCAGCAGUAGGGAAUCUUCCGCAAUGGGCGAAAGCCUGACGGAGCAACGCCGCGUGAGUGAUGAAGGUCUUCGGAUCGUAAAACUCUGUUAUUAGGGAAGAACAUAUGUGUAAGUAACUGUGCACAUCUUGACGGUACCUAAUCAGAAAGCCACGGCUAACUACGUGCCAGAGCCGCGGUAA
rnacentral:rRNA from 1 species